CGGCAACAGCUCAAAUUUGAAAUCUGGCCCUCGGGUCCGAAUUGUAAUUUGUAGAAGAUGCUUCGGGUGUGGCUCCGGUCUAAGUUCCUUGGAACAGGACGUCAUAGAGGGUGAGAAUCCCGUAUGUGACUGGUAGCCUUCGCCCAUGUGAAGCUCUUUCGAC
rnacentral:rRNA from 1 species